UGAUUAUCCAGUAGUAGUUGUGUGGU
rnacentral:sRNA from 1 species